UCCCGCUUAGCUCAGUGGUAGAGCGCGUCACUAGUAAUGACGAGGCCGCUUGUUCGAGUCAGGCAGUGGGAA